AUUAGUGGCGAACGGGUGAGUAACACGUGGGCAAUCUGCCCUUCACUCUGGGACAAGCCCUGGAAACGGGGUCUAAUACCGGAUAACACUUCUGCUCUCAUGGGCAGGGGUUAAAAGCUCCGGCGGUGAAGGAUGAGCCCGCGGCCUAUCAGCUUGUUGGUGAGGUAAUGGCUCACCAAGGCGACGACGGGUAGCCGGCCUGAGAGGGCGACCGGCCACACUGGGACUGAGACACGGCCCAGACUCCUACGGGAGGCAGCAGUGGGGAAUAUUGCACAAUGGGCGAAAGCCUGAUGCAGCGACGCCGCGUGAGGGAUGACGGCCUUCGGGUUGUAAACCUCUUUCAGCAGGGAAGAAGCGAAAGUGACGGUACCUGCAGAAGAAGCGCCGGCUAACUACGUGCCAGCAGCCGCGGUAAUACGUAGGGCGCAAGCGUUGUCCGGAAUUAUUGGGCGUAAAGAGCUCGUAGGCGGCUUGUCACGUCGGGUGUGAAAGCCCGGGGCUUAACCCCGGGUCUGCAUUCGAUACGGGCUAGCUAGAGUGUGGUAGGGGAGAUCGGAAUUCCUGGUG
rnacentral:rRNA from 1 species